UGAAGUCAUUGAUGCCAUGCUUCCAGGAAAAGCCUCUAAGCUUCAGAUUGUAAGGAAUCGUACCCCAAACCGACACAGGUGGUCGGGUAGAGAAUACCAAGGCGCUUGAGAGAACUCGGGUGAAGGAACUAGGCAAAAUGGUACCGUAACUUCGGGAGAAGGUACGCUCUUAUCGGUGAAGUCCCUCGCGGAUGGAGCUGACGAGAGUCGCAGAUACCAGGUGGCUGCAACUGUUUAUUAAAAACACAGCACUGUGCAAAAUCGUAAGAUGACGUAUACGGUGUGACGCCUGCCCGGUGCCGGAAGGUUAAUUGAUGGGGUUAGUCCUCGGACGAAGCUCUUGAUCGAAGCCCCGGUAAACGGCGGCCGUAACUAUAACGGUCCUAAGGUAGCGAAAUUCCUUGUCGGGUAAGUUCCGACCUGCACGAAUGGCGUAAUGAUGGCCACGCUGUCUCCACCCGAGACUCAGUGAAAUUGAAAUCGCUGUGAAGAUGCAGUGUACCCGCGGCUAGACGGAAAGACCCCGUGAACCUUUACUACAGCUUGGCACUGAACAUUGAACCUACAUGUGUAGGAUAGGUGGGAGGCUUUGAAACGCAGUCGCCAGAUUGCGUGGAGCCGUCCUUGAAAUACCACCCUUGUAGCUUUGAUGUUCUAACUUGGCUCCCUUAUCGGGAGUGAGGACAGUGCCUGGUGGGUAGUUUGACUGGGGCGGUCUCCUCCCAAAGAGUAACGGAGGAGCACGAAGGUGGGCUAAACACGGUUGGACAUCGUGUGGUUAGUGCAAUGGCAUAAGCCCGCUUGACUGCGAGAAUGACAAUUCGAGCAGGUGCGAAAGCAGGUCAUAGUGAUCCGGUGGUUCUGAAUGGAAGGGCCAUCGCUCAACGGAUAAAAGGUACUCCGGGGAUAACAGGCUGAUACCGCCCAAGAGUUCAUAUCGACGGCGGUGUUUGGCACCUCGAUGUCGGCUCAUCACAUCCUGGGGCUGAAGUCGGUCCCAAGGGUAUGGCUGUUCGCCAUUUAAAGUGGUACGCGAGCUGGGUUUAGAACGUCGUGAGACAGUUCGGUCCCUAUCUGCCGUGGGCGUUGGAAGAUUGAAGGGGGCUGCUCCUAGUACGAGAGGACCGGAGUGGACGAACCUCUGGUGUUCGGGUUGUCAUGCCAAUGGCAUUGCCCGGUAGCUAAGUUCGGAAUCGAUAACCGCUGAAAGCAUCUAAGCGGGAAGCGAGCCCUGAGAUGAGUCUUCCCUGAUACUUUAAGUAUCCUAAAGGGUUGUUCGAGACCAGAACGUUGAUAGGCAGGGUGUGUAAGCGUUGUGAGGCGUUGAGCUAACCUGUACUAAUUGCCCGUGAGGCUUAACC
rnacentral:rRNA from 4 species